rnacentral:rRNA from 1 species
GUCUACGGCCAUGCCACCCUGAACAAGCCCAAUCCCAUCUGAUCUCAGAAGCUUAAGCAGGGUCGGGUCUGGUUAGUACUUGGAUGGGAGACCACCUAGAAAGACCAGGUGCUGCAGGCA